rnacentral:rRNA from 1 species
GUCGAGCGCACUCUUCGGAGUGAGCGGCGGACGGGUUAGUAACGCGUGGGAACAUACCCUUUUCUACGGAAUAGCCUCGGGAAACUGAGAGUAAUACCGUAUACGCCCUUCGGGGGAAAGAUUUAUCGGAGAAGGAUUGGCCCGCGUUUGAUUAGGUAGUUGGUGGGGUAAUGGCCUACCAAGCCUACGAUCUAUAGCUGGUUUGAGAGGAUGAUCAGCCACACUGGGACUGAGACACGGCCCAGACUCCUACGGGAGGCAGCAGUAGGGAAUCUUAGACAAUGGGGGCAACCCUGAUCUAGCCAUGCCGCGUGUGUGAUGAAGGCCCUAGGGUCGUAAAGCACUUUCGCCAGAGAUGAUAAUGACAGUAUCUGGUAAAGAAACCCCGGCUAACUCCGUGCCAGCAGCCGCGGUAAUACGGAGGGGGUUAGCGUUGUUCGGAAUUACUGGGCGUAAAGCGCACGUAGGCGGAUUAGUAAGUUAGAGGUGAAAUCCCAGGGCUCAACCCUGGAACUGCCUUUAAUACUGCUAGUCUUGAGUUCGAGAGAGGUAAGUGGAAUUCCGAGUGUA